UGGGGAAUAUUGGACAAUGGGGGAAACCCUGAUCCAGCGACGUCGCGUGAGUGAAGAAGUAUUUCGGUAUGUAAAGCUCUAUCAGCAGGGAAGAAAAUGACGGUACCUGACUAAGAAGCCCCGGCUAACUACGUGCCAGCAGCCGCGGUAAUACGUAGGGGGCAAGCGUUAUCCGGAUUUACUGGGUGUAAAGGGAGCGUAGACGGCACUGCAAGUCUGGAGUGAAAGCCCGGGGCUCAACCCCGGGACUGCUUUGGAAACUGUGGUGCUGGAGUGCAGGAGAGGUAAGUGGAAUUCCUAGUGUAGCGGUGAAAUGCGUAGAUAUUAGGAGGAACACCAGUGGCGAAGGCGGCUUACUGGACUGUAACUGACGUUGAGGCUCGAAAGCGUGGGGAGCAAACA
rnacentral:rRNA from 1 species